UACGUAGGGGGCAAGCGUUGUCCGGAAUCAUUGGGCGUAAAGAGCGUGUAGGCGGCCCGAUAAGUCCGCUGUGAAAGUCCAGGGCUCAACCCUGGGAUGCCGGUGGAUACUGUCGGGCUCGAGUCCGGAAGAGGAGUGUGGAAUUCCUGGUGUAACGGUGAAAUGCGCAGAUAUCAGGAGGAACACCGGUGGCGAAGGCGCCACUCUGGGCCGAAACUGACGCUGAGGAGCGAAAGCGUGGGUAGCAAACAGG
rnacentral:rRNA from 1 species